ACAGAGACUUCAAGGGCAUUUCCUCCUCCUUUCUCUGAACUUCCCCAACAAUUUUACGUCCACGCCGCAUGUUUCUGCGCAAGCCCUCUACAGCCAAUCUAAAGUUUCAGGUCUUUUAAGCCCCCAUAAGGGAAUGGAGCUGCCUCAAAUAAUACCUCCAUUGGCGGACAGUACUGUUAGUGCAGCAACUGCUGCUAUCACUUCAGACCCUAACUUCACUGCAGCUCUAGCUGCAGCGAUCAGUUCC
rnacentral:misc_RNA from 1 species